GGUCCGAAGUCUCUACGACGAAGCGUUCUUGAGAUAUUUCACUUUGAAAUUGCAAAAACGGGGGCCGCGCCCUGACGUCAUGCGGCCAUUUGGUUACAUCAUCACGGGCUGCCUACGUCAUUGUGGCAAAGUCGUUUCUCUUCGCCAGUCUACAAGCACUAAUUUUAGUUGGUAUUUCAAGGGAAGAUGGGCGAUUCCGAACAAUCCUCUGUCCCCAGCAAUGAAGGCAGCGAUGCUGAGGCCAGUGAGGACGACCAACAGCCCACCGCCGCGUAUGGUUGGGGCAGGGAGCCCAGAUACUCUGCUGAGGAGCUGCCAUCGCGUGUAACAAAUGUGGAGGAAGAAGAUGCGUCAGCAGCUGCGUCCGACAGAAGACGAGUAGCUUGGCCACCAGAAUCUCGAUUCGUUUGGGACUCAGACUGGUGCGAGCGUGGACAAAAGUGUAUAGCCAUGCCCAGCCCGCGGGAAUGAUUUUGCUGGUAGGAUGCUGCCGUCGCUGUCGACAAGACGGCCCAAGGUUUCUUGCGUAGCGGACCUCGCAGAUUACGAGAUCGUAUCCUUGCAUUAGGCUGUGCUCAUCACUGCUCUUCGAGGUUAUCUCGACAUGCAGAAGCCGCCAAUGCCAGUGACAGAAGAGUCUGACAUUAGAUCUCUACGCUAUGCGGCACACAGGCAGUACACACUAUGUACACGGCAAAUUGGGCAAGCACGUUCGUUGUCGUCUUCCAGCCUGCGUUGUGAAUACGAUCAGGCAAAGAUAUCCAAAUCCUGCACCACCUCAGCCUUCUCAGGAGGCUUCCACCUGGAAUUUGGCAGGGAAACACGCUUCUCCAAGGCAGGAACAUGGAGGUUGCCAUUUGCAACCGCUACCACCUCACACAUGAGCUUGUCAACAUACUCAUAGCUCUUUCUGUCGUAUAAUUUUCUAUUUGGCCACAGUCUUCUUUAUGCUUUGAGAACUGGACUUUAUACCUUCC